UAUUUUGAAUAAUUUGGUAUAUUUCAGACUCCACUGAGAUACACAAAGACAUUAUUGCUUCAAGUCGUUAUGGUGAUUACAUGUUUUAGCUUUAAAAAGACUGUUCGUGAUAUUUCGUGUGUUUUAGCUACAAACAUUUAUCUAAGAUGCUGUCUUCGCAGGUGCCAUGCCUACAAUGGCAAGCGUCAAGCUGUCUACACUUCUUCCCAUUGUGAAUCAUCCACUUUACGAAGAUGCAGACUUGAGAUUGGCAGCUGAUGAGUAUUUCUUCAAGACUCACUUGGCGACUCCCAAUUCUUAGGAAUUGGGAAAAUUUUUACACACACACACGCAUAGACACACAUACACACACACAAACUCGUCCUCAUUUUCAUGCUGGAAGUUAAAAAAAAUGACAAUAACCAUCCAGAAAUGACAAUACGUACCUGUUGCCUCUGGAGCAAGCAGACCUCUGAAAACUGAAAAAUGCAAAAGCCAGUUUUUCCCAAAGUGACAAAUGUGUCACAUAUUUAUGAUGUGUGUGUGUAUUCCAGUAAAACUACUAGGUAGUUGGAAGAGUAGGUAGGAUGGAUUUUACUCACAGCCAUGGUUUGCCAACCCCUGCUCUACACCACAAGCCCCACUCUGAUUUAAGAAAUGAUUUCUAGAUCUUACUGGUGGCCAAUGACUAGCUUUUUGUGACAGGUAGAAAAAGUACAUGAAAGUUGCUAUUAUAUAGUACGUGCUUUAAUGAAAAUUUAGAGUAUUUUUGCUAGUCGAUUAUGAGAACUCUAGUUUCCAUUGAUGUCUAAAAGUUUUGCUUUCCUUAAAUGGCUGGUUUAAAAAAUUAUUUUGGUUAUUCUAGUAGUUGUCAGGGUAAUCAUUUUUAAAAGUGGAUUUUUGGCCUAUUGUUAGAGGCAAAUGUUUAAAUUAUUUAAAAGUUUUAGGUCUGCUGUCUAGGAGCCAGGGCUUGGAGUCAGACACCUUAGAAAUGUACCUGAUGCUCUCUCUGUUCUACUGCGGUGAACUGGCAUGGAAACCACUGUGGUGACUGAGCAUCCCAUAUGCUUGAAAUUCUAAGCAACAUCCAAUGCAUAAGUGAUAGUUUGUCAGGAUUUUGUAAGAACUCCCACUACGGUCGAAUCACCUAUUGUACCAUAUUUUAGUGACCAUCCCCAUUUCUCAAGAUUCUGUGAAGGUGCUUUUCCUACCUCUUCUGAUACCAUGGAUGUCCAUUGUCUAAGUGUUCUACUUGAUACACUAAAUUUCAAUUCAUGUAUUUGUCAGAGCUUCUUUAGAUGAAAUUAAGCAUUGAAAGA
rnacentral:lncRNA from 1 species